CUGAGAACCAAGACCUGUCAUGUAAAGGUACAGGAUCCCAAUGAUGAAUGUAACUGUACUGUGUACCUAAAAUGUACCAAUAAACUCAAUGAGAGAAGAAAAAAAUAAAGUUAUGUUUUCAAAUCCAGAACCAUCAUUUUAUGUUCCCAGGCUCAUAACAAGACUUUGUCACUGACUGAUACAACUGAACAACUUGAAUCCCAUCUACAAAACUCUAUUCCUUAAUGUCCCUUCUCCUGCCUUCUAAGGGAAGAGAGGGAAUGCUCAGGAAGAAGAACAAAGAUUCUAUGUAUACAGGAAAACACAGGAUCCAUCCCCUGGUCAUCAAGGCCUGGCUGGAGCAGAGGAGAAGGUUGAGAACAGUGAUGUGGUGGUGGAUUCAGAUGCACGAGGUAUGCAGAAGUAGGCAACGUCCUCACUGCCAUGAAAUCCUAGUUUCUGCUGAGCUCCAUCUAAAUAGAAGCACCCUAGGACAAAAAUUGUGUAGCAAGACAGGCACAGACACGACUUUUGGGAAAGAAGCCUGUGCUCAUGGCUCCUGGACACAGGGUUCGAACACGAGGUGGACAGGCACAUGCACGAGCACCAGGGUGGCCCGCAGGCAAGUGAGAAUCUUCAAGAUGAAGGGAUUCUCAGCCUCCGACCUCUGCUCUAGGAGACAAGUCUCAGAAGAUAUUCUUAAAUCAUGCUCCCACCCAGAAAUCCCCAAGAACCCAACACAGAAGGUUGAAGAACAUAAAACACAACCUGGCUUCCAACGGGAGCUGAAAUGUCACCUAACAGUUAAUCUGGAGUUGCGGCUGUGGUUGCAAUUUUUAUGUUGUUAAUGAUAAUUAGGGCUUAAAAUAAUUGUUGUCAUUACUUUAUUUGCCUUUUCCUCCCAUAAUGUUCCCUUAGCGAAUGAUCUGGGGGGGCAGUUUGGUGACCCUUAGUUCAGGCACUCUUUUACAUGAUUCCCUUCCUUUCCCUUGUUCCCCCAACUGCUCACAAAACCCCAGCUGUCUGAAAAGGGUCUACUUUCCAGCUUUCUUCUUCCCCUGCCAUCCUGACACAGAACUGAAGCCUCUGGGGCUUUGUUCAAGAAAAGAGGACCUUGGCAGUAUGAAGCUAAGGUUAUAAUGCAGCUGAGACAUGGAAUUGUUCACUCACUUCCUCUGAUUGGCAAAGGAAUCGAUAUUUUUAGGGACAUCUAGAGUCUGGACUAGGAAAUAGAGUUAAAGGAGAAAAGGGAAUUUUAGGUCUCUGAGAGAAAAUAUAUAUCUCACUAUUCUUUGUCUAAUUCAGAAUCUGUGGGGGCCUUGGUUCCAGGACUCCCAUGGAUACCAAAACCCAUGGUUACUAUAUUCAAGUCCCCUUCACAGUGUCACCAUGUAAUCUACACACAUCCUCCCCUAUAUUAAAAUUAUGUCUAGAUCAUAUAUAAUAUCUAAUGCAUGUAAACAUUAUUUAAAUGUGUUGUUUGAGGACUAGUGAUAAGACAGAUAUUCUGUACCUGUUCAGUAUAGAUGUAGUUUCCCUCAAUAUGUUUGAUGAAAGGUUGGUUAAAUAGUCUCUGGUGUGAAAAACUAUAAUAGUACAUAAGAUCCUAAUGAGAUAAUUGACAAUGUGAAAUAGGAAGAAAAGGGCGAAAGGUGUAGGGAAAGUGGGAAGGGUAGGGGAGAGGAAAUAAGGGAAGAGAAAAAAAUAUGAGAAAAUGAAAAAAUGGAAAUAAAGUGUUUGUAAAUGGGGAGGGGAGGAGAGGGUGAAGGGAGGGCAGGGACAAGGGGAAAAAAUGAGAACAAAGACCUGUCAUGUAAAGGCACAAGAUCCCAAUCAUGAAUGUAACUGUACUGUAUAUGUAAAAUGUACCAAUAAACAAUUAAAAAUGAAAAGAAAGGAUGGUUAAAUCCACAAAGCCGAUUACAUUGAUUACGUGCUCAGCUCUAACUGUAUCUUUGGGUCUUCAUCUCCUUAUGAAGCUUCUCAUGCCACAUCAAAAAUUGUGUUAAGUAAAUUUGUAUGUUUGUCUUAGUUAUUUUCUCUGACACCCACGAUUUAAAGGAGGAGAGGCUUAUUCUAGUUCACCACCUGGAGAAGUUUCAGUCAGUAGUGUGCUGGCUCCCAGGCAGGAUAGCAUGGCAGAAGGGCAUCCCACAGGAAAAAC
ensembl:lincRNA